UUUUAAUCAUUAACAUUACGAUUAUCAUCAUUAACACUACUAUAAAUAUCUGUACCAUUUUUCAAUCAAUCAAAAUUUAUUUAUAGAGCACUUUACAGUCUGUCACGCCUUCUGGACCCUGAUCCCUUCCGGUGACAGUGUAUGGCUGAAUGAUUUUUGAUUUGUUUUUUGCCUUUUGAGUGUUUGCUGUGUGCUUGGUGUCUCCCCUUCCUUUUUUCCCCAGAGCCGGUGGGCAUGGUCUUCAGUUCCUUAUGGCUGUGGCACACCUGUUCCCCGUCGGGAUCUAAGCACCUGUUGGGUAUUGCCUCAUCACCACUCCCUAUUUAACCCUGGCCAACUCUCCAGUCCUUGCCGGAUUGUUGUGUAACCAUAGAAACCCGUCCUGCUCUCCUGGAUCUCAGAUCUUCCCCGCCAGUCAGCACAGUCCUCAGGAGUGUCCUCCGCCUCGCCUCGCCUGCCAGCUUCCACUGCUUUGCCCUCUCCUACGGAACCCGGACCUUGCCCCACUCCCCCAUCAGUUUUCCCUCUGUCAUUUUCUAAAUAAAACUCUUUUGUUCAUCUCCA